rnacentral:rRNA from 1 species
AUUGAACGCUGGCGGCAGACCUAACACAUGCAAGUCGAGCGGAUGAAGGGAGCUUGCUCCUGGAUUCAGCGGCGGACGGGUGAGUAAUGCCUAGGAAUCUGCCUGGUAGUGGGGGAUAACGUCCGGAAACGGGCGCUAAUACCGCAUACGUCCUGAGGGAGAAAGUGGGGGAUCUUCGGACCUCACGCUAUCAGAUGAGCCUAGGUCGGAUUAGCUAGUUGGUGGGGUAAAGGCCUACCAAGGCGACGAUCCGUAACUGGUCUGAGAGGAUGAUCAGUCACACUGGAACUGAGACACGGUCCAGACUCCUACGGGAGGCAGCAGUGGGGAAUAUUGGACAAUGGGCGAAAGCCCGAUCCAGCCAUGCCGCGUGUGUGAAGAAGGUCUUCGGAUUGUAAAGCACUUUAAGUUGGGAGGAAGGGCAGUAAGUUAAUACCUUGCUGUUUUGACGUUACCAACAGAAUAAGCACCGGCUAACUUCGUG